UGCCUGUCACUUGAUUCAUUUGGUAAACACCCAAUAUACGACAGAGUGGGGAAAAAAAAGAACGCAAGGAAGAAUGUCAAAUGUUGAAGGACUAGUGAAUGGGUAGAGAGGGAUUAAUUCAAUGUGGAAAAAUCAAAACCCUCGACAUCUCCAUUGGAUUGAGCUUGAAGCAAGUUUAACGGUGCGCUAAGAAUCUCUUCAAAAGCGCAGUUUGAGAUCAAGGAAGUCAGUUCGUGUACGUUUAGAAGAUAAGUGAGAAAGGAGUAAGGUCUCAUAGAUACAACGUGCCACGUUGCAAAUCCAAUCCAGGGACCCGGAUUUGGGGCAUGACAUGAAGUUAGUAAUCCGGCGACGUAAUUGGCUACUGAUUGGGCGCAUUCUUAGCUUUUACGCUUGUGAAAUUACCAAAAUAGUCACUCGUAGUUCC